UGGGCUUUGUAAUGCCCCGGCCGUCUUCCAAGACUUGAUCAAUGAAGUUCUUAGAGAAUUCCAACAUGAAUGUGUGAUUGUAUAUUUGGAUGAUAUACUAAUACAUUCCAGAGACAUUAACUCACAUCAUAGACAAGUCAGAAAGGUAUUGCAGAAACUUUUACAACAUGGAUUGUAUUGUAAAUUGGAAAAAUGUAGCUUUGAUCAGUCUCAGG